UAUCCUAAAAUCUUCCGGGACCCUGGCUUGGCUUACAUUUCCUUGUAUUUGCUUAAGAUGAAGGUUAAAGAGAGGGCGUACUCCCUGGGAGUUCAGAGGUGGGAAAGAAGCAGGGAUGUUUACUAUUGAAAUGACAUUCAUUUCCUUCAUGCUUUCCUCUGCUUAUAAUUAGUUCUCUGCCUUUCUGAGGCUAUUUUCUGAUGCAAAGGUAUUUGUCAGAAGGUAGUCAAGACUGUUCCAUGUGGUCUGUGUUUUAUGUUUGCUUGUUCAUUUACUUGCUGGUAAAUGAAGUUGAGGGUUAGAGGAGUGAGGGAAGUAAAGAAUUUUUUUAAAAAAUAUGCUGUUUCCUUCAGUUUGCUAUUUGUCUCACUUAUCCUGUUCGUUGAAUGAGAAUCCUGUGUUGCUUCUAGUCUGCUUGCAUUAAUUAGUCUGAGAUGGUGCUGGAGAAUACAGAUGCUUCUACAUGGAGAUGUGUCUCUCUAACAUUUUUCCUGAUAGGUUAGCAACACAAGUGUAUUGCCAUAGCAACCUGGAAUAUUUACAGCCCUUAGGUAGAGUCUCCUUGAUACUUAACGGUGAUAAGUGAGUAGGAAUGAAAAGAAUGGAGGUAGCAGGAUGAAGUGACUGCUAGAGCCUGACUUCCUACUAUGAAAAAGGGUUCCAAGAUCAUCAGAUUGGAGAAACUGACCCAUUGGAACUUAAAACAUACUUGGU